UGAGCAAUCUGCCCUUCUCUUUGGAAUAAGCGUUGGAAACGACGUCUAAUGCCGAAUACGACCUCCUUUCGCAUGAUCGGAGGUGGAAAGCUCCGGCGGAGAAGGAUGAGCUCGCGGCCUAUCAGCUAGGUUGGGUGGGGUAAUGGCCCACAAGGCGACGACGGGUAGCCGGCCUGAGGAGGGUGACCGGCCACACGUGGGACUGGAGACACGGCCCAGACCUCCGAGGGAGCAGCAGG
rnacentral:rRNA from 1 species